GCUUUGAUAGUUUAACCAAAAUAUUGGUCUUGUAAACCAGUGAUGAAAUCUUUUUUCUCAAAGCA
rnacentral:tRNA from 1 species